CUAGUAUCCUUAGUAUUCCGAGUGGUUCAACGGGUCAGGAUACGAGUUAAAUUACAGUGAAUUAACAGCAAAGGAAAAGUAGAUUAUACUUAUGAAAAAGGAAAGGUCAGGUAAGAAAUAAGGUAAGGGAAUAAAGAAGAAGAUAGAAAUUGAGAAGUAAAGAAAUUUAUGAUGUUAGAUGAUAUUAUGCAUAAUUAUCCAUUAUGUUGAAUGUUGUGAUUUAUUUGCUUGUAAGUUUACAGUAAAUAAAUGCAAUAUUCUUUUA